CUGACCAAUCUGGUGGACUGCUACGACAGGGUGACUGCCUUCAUGGAUAAUGGAAGAUUUUGUCUACCUGGAAUUCUGCAAGGCCUUUGACACAGUUCUGUGGUUCUAUGAUUCCAUAAUUCUAUGAUUCUAUGAUGUCAGUGGGACCAAGCAUUCAACUCAACUCUUUCCUGCUGUGGAGUGUUGGGCAGUGAAACACAAAAACGUCACGACGAGCUGAUGAAGUCUGAGUUAGACAAGUGGGCCUGAAGGUGGACUGAGUGGUGUACUCCAGAGCCCAGUGGUGUUUAACGUCUCCACAACCUAGAUGAUGGAGUAGAGUGAAUCCUCAAUGAGUUGGCAGAUAAUGAAGAAACAACCAUCAUGUGCUGCCUGCCACUCAGAGGGUUUUUGGAGAAGUUGCUGAGAGAUACCUCAUGAAGUUCAACAAGGAGAAAUUGAAAGUCCUAUACCUGGCAAGGAAUAAAAUUAUGGGUACCAAUUGGCUGCAGGGCACCUCUGGUAGAAAAGGCUUGGAGGGUCCUGGUGGACAUCAAGUUGAACAUGAGCCACCAGUGUACCACAGAGAUGAACAGGCUCCUGGACUGCAUUAAAAGUAGCUCUGACAGCAGCUGGCAAGAGGUGAUCCUUCCUCUUUAUUCAGAACUGGUGAGACGCAUCUGGAGUACUGCAUCCAGUGCUGGGCUUCCCAGUACGAGAGACGUGGAUGUCCUGAAGAGGGUCCAGCAAAGAAGUGUGAAUAGUUUCUUAAAUCUUGAAAUAAGACAGCUCCAAGGGGAUCUCAUCACUGUAUAUGAGAACAUGGUACAUGGGACUAAGGAAGAGGGAGCCAGGCUCUUUUCAGUGGUGCUAAGUGCCAGGACAAAAGGAAAUGGGAAUAGACUGGAACACAGGAGGUUCCCUCUGACCAUCAGUGAGUACUGUGCUGUGAAAGUGACAGAACACUGGCAUAGGCUGCCCAGAGCGGUGGUGGAGUCUCUUCUGUGGAGGAACACUACAGGUGUUCCUUCUUGAGCAGGGGGAUUACACUAGGCUGUCUCCAGCCUCAAUCCUUCUGUGCCUAUGCUGCUGAUCAUGGGAUUUUAGCAGAGCUAGGACAGGCUCUAGACAAAAAAAUGUGUUUGUCAAAUUACAAACAGAGAAACAUUUCUUCUUUUCUACCAUUAAAUAGAACUUAAGACCAGAAUGGACAGAACAGACGUUCAAUCUGAAUCUCUGCACAUUAAAAAAAUAUAACGCUAAGAUCAAGUGACUUAAUAGCAAAAUAAAAUCUUCAGAGAUUUUAUUCUCUGCCUCUUUGCCCCAUGGGUAUUAACUGUAACUGAAUUGUUCCUGGCAACGUUCCCAGAGGUUAAUGAUCCUUACCAUUGGAAAGAGUUUCUUGAUGUCUAAGUGAAAUUUCAGUGACAUUUGGUCCUAGAUAACCAUUAAUAGUACUUCUCUCCACGGUGGUUACUAAAAAGUUUAUUCACUUUCCCUCUCAAAGGACUUACAUACUUUGCAAGACUACUGCCAUUCACCCCUCAGUAUUUUCUUCUCUGUGCUGAGUAACACACCCACCUCACCAUCCUCUCUAAUUCCUUCAGCUUUUUCUCAUUAACGGCACAGAAAAAUCACUGAGGAUUUUUCAUCCAAAGACUGAAACAUCCCUAUAGGCUAUCUGCUUAAUCUAAAGCAUUACCAAAAGAACUACCCACAUUUCUCAGACUGACUCCUGAAAACAGCACAUGGUAUUGUGUGUGGCAAGUACUGAAGCAAGUGAGCUACCAAACCCACAAGACUACAAGCAGUAGUCAGAUCAAAGCUGUAUGAAGACUGGUGAUGGGUGUACAGUGUCUGGUGUCCCUGGGCUCCCUACCUCAUUAGGUGGAAGUGGAGAGCCUUCAGGCAGUAGUUCACUACUGGUUCUCAACCAGGAUGCGUUGAUGGUCCCUUCAGGAGGAGACUGCCUCCCUCCCUGAGUUACCCUGGAAGUAAAGGGUGAACCGACUCCUGCUCCAGGCUCACUGCUGUGUUGCCAUAGAUCCUUUCUGGGGGCAACACUAGGCCCUCCCACAUGGAUGAAGUGUGGUCACCCAGGAGUGAAAUGAACUGAGGUCACAGAGCCCUGGAAAGACCCAAAGUUUUCAAAGCCACAAAAUCUGCCUUUCUCUGCGUUAAAAAUCAGUAUCUGCCAAGCACUUGGGACAUUUUUUCUGCUCCUUCAGAUCACCCCAGAAGAAGUUUUGUCUCCAACUACCUCCAGCUGCCUGAAGAAAGUAGGAGAAAGAAAAUGGAUGAAAGAAAGAAAAAAGAAAAAAUAUCAGAGUAAAAGUGAAGUCAGGAACAAGAGCCCUUCCCCAUGCUCUCUCUGCCCAGCCCAGUUAGGCAAUAAAGGCCUCGAAGGAGGAAUUUUACUUCUGUAUUUCCUCAAAUACAAAGCUGAAGGAGUUAUGGACGUACUAAAUUCAACCCAAGCAAUUCCAUUCUCCCUCGGGGACAAUAAUAUUUAUUCAUGGACAACUUGAAAAAAUAAAAAGAGAUGAGAAUUA